rfam:Fukomys damarensis contig78548, whole genome shotgun sequence.
UGGGGUGCAGCUCAGUGGUAGAGCACUUGCCUAGCGUGUGCAAGGCCCUGGGUUCGAUCUCCAGCACCACAA